rnacentral:rRNA from 1 species
GACGAACGCUGGCGGCGUGCUUAACACAUGCAAGUCGAACGGAAAGGCCCUGCUUUUGUGGGGUGCUCGAGUGGCGAACGGGUGAGUAACACGUGAGUAACCUGCCCUUGACUUUGGGAUAACUUCAGGAAACUGGGGCUAAUACCGGAUAGGAGCUCCUGCUGCAUGGUGGGUGUUGGAAAGUUUCGGCGGUUGGGGAUGGACUCGCGGCUUAUCCGCUUGUUGGUGGGGUAGUGGCUUACCAAGGCUUUGACGGGUAGCCGGCCUGAGAGGGUGACCGGCCACAUUGGGACUGAGAUACGGCCCAGACUCCUACGGGAGGCCGCAGUGGGGAAUAUUGCACAAUGGGCGGAAGCAUGAUGCAGCAACGCCGCGUGCGGGAUGACGGCCUUCGGGUUGUAAACCGCUUUCGCCUGUGACGAAGCGUGAGUGACGGUAAUGGGUAAAGAAGCACCGGCUAACUACGUG